rnacentral:lncRNA from 1 species
AGAGGCUGGGACGGGUGUUAGCUGGUGAAGAAGUCACGUUGCCUGAUGCUGCAAAACAACCUAUUCAGAACCUUCAUGCGGAGGUUGAAAUCGUUACUUCUUGGCUGAGUGAAUUUGAAGAUGAUAUCUCUUGCCUUUUGAUGCAAAAAAUAGGAGAAGUUGAAAUUGACAACCCAGAUCUUGGGACCGUUAUGGAUGAAAUCAAUUGCUUUACUUAUGAAUCUGAGAAGUUCAUUGACACAUUCAUCAACAGCAUUACUCAACAGAAGAGACAAAGCAGGCGUAGCAAGGACAUUUGUGAUGCUCUGCUAGGACUCCAAAGCAAAAUCAUUGAUAUAAAACAACGGAUGCAACAAGUUCAGCACUUCGAUUCCGGAAUCAUUGAUGAAGUCAAAUCAAUUGAAGCUGAAGCCGGUAAUUUUCUUGCAUCUUCAUCGUCUAAGAAUAGGGACACGGUGGGUCUAGAUGAUAGAAUGGAGGAUUUGUUAGAUCUAUUGAUAGAAGGACCACAUCAACUUUUAGCAGUGGCCAUACUUGAUAGCAUUGGAUUGGACAAGACGGCUUUCGUCGCAGAAGCUUACAGCAGCAACUAUGUGAAGCAUUAUUUUGAUUGUCACGCUUGGGUUCCAGAGCCUCACAGCUAUGAUGCUCACCGAAUAUUAGAUAUCAUUAUUAAGUUUCUAAUGCCUUCAUCUAGACUGAGUGAAAUAAAGGAUAAAAAUUAUGAAAUAAAAAAAAUAUUCCUCGUGAAUAUCUAAUGACCAAGCGGUAUUUGAUUAUUUUUUUAUCAUGUGUGGAGAAUAUCAGCAUGGGAUGUUAUUCGAAAAAUACUUCCCGAUAAUCAGAAUGGAAGUAGAGUAUUAAUAACACUCGCUCAAAUUAAGAUUGUCACCUCAUUUCAGUUCGAAAACGGAGAGAACAUUGGGCUUGAUUUUGUGCCCACUGGAGGACUAUUGAGAGCUACAUACCAAGGAUGGCCUUUCCACAUCUUGUAUCAUGGAAGCAUCUCAUUGGAAGAAAAUAUAGACAAAGUAUUGACCAUGUCCCUUGGGCUUCAAUGUAUCAUAUAUUGUAUGUCACCUUUUUGCUUGAAACCUUGUUUUCUCUACUUCUCAGUGUUUCCCGCACACUUAGAGAUAUCCACCAGGCAUGUAUAUCAACUGUGGAUAGCUGAAGGUUUCAUUGAAGACAAUAAUGAGGCAACUGCUAAGAAGUACUUAGAGCAACUAAUCAACAGAGGCUUUGUCGAAGCAAAUAAGAGAAGAGCUGGAGGCACAAUCAACACAUGCUCUAUUCCCGGUCGUUGCCGUCCUGUAUUGUUAGGAGUGGCUUCCAAGGUGGAAUUUAUCUUUUCCCCUUUCAUGGAUAUAGAAGGUAAAUCAUAAAAAAAUGUCAAACGUUUCUACACUUUAGAACAACAGAGUGAUUUUGCUUGCUUAGAUGAUUAUGACUCGCAACUGCAUUCUUUCUUGUGCUGCUCUCCAGAAAGCCGCCACAUUGACCCCAUAGAUUGGGAGAAAAUUUGUGGAAUGUUCAAACUUCUCAGAGUGUUGGACUUGGAAUCUCUUGUUCUCAUCUAGUAUCCAUCCGGAAUUGAAAAUUUAUUUCUUUUGAGAUAUUUGAAGUUGAAUAUCCCUUCCCUCAAAAGCCUGUCUUCCUCAUUAUUAAGCAAUCUUCUGAACCUCUACACCCUAGACAUGCCCUUUAGCUAUAUAGAUCAUACGGCAGAUGAAUUUUGGAAGAUGAAAAAACUCAGACAUCUAAAUUUUGGGUCAAUCACACUUCCUGCGCAUCCAGGAAAAUACUGUGGCUCUCUGGAAAAUCUAAAUUUCAUUUCAGCCUUGCACAUUUGCUGCUGUAUUGAAGAUAUAUUAGGCAGGCUACUUAAUCUUCAAAAUCUCUGAAUGCGGGGAGAUUUAAGUUAUGAUCAAUCUUUGCUGUCUCAAAGUCUCUGCAGAUUGAGCUGUCUCAAGUCAUUGAAGCUGGCGAAUGAAAGCAAGAUGCCAUGGCUCUCCAAAAUCGUCCUUGCUGAAUACCUAUUUCCUCAUAGUCUAACCCACUUGAGUUUUUCUAAUACUGACCGAAUGGAUGAUCCCAUGCCGGUGCUAGAAACGUUGCCGCUUCUUCAAGUGCUCAAACUGAAGCAAAACUCGUAUUCAUACAGAAAGCUGACUUCUGGACUAUGGGGAAUGCAGCCAUGCCAAAACUAGAAUGCUUGAUUAUCAACCCUUGUGCUUACUUGAAAAAGAUGCCUGAACAUCUCUGGUGCAUAAAGAGCUUAAACAAGUUCGAUUGCUGGUGGCCUCAACCAGAGCUGAGACAAAAGCUACGGGAAUUUGAGGAUAAGGAACAGUGUGGCAUUCAACUAUAUCCUUAUGGAAUUUUUUUUUAUUACAUGAGACUAUUGCUCAAACUACAACUCAUAUUACAUGAGGUUAUAACUGAUAUUUAUAAAUCAGACUAUUACUGGGACCAACUUACAUCAAUGCUAAUGGAGCUCUACCCAAAUUUUAACCCUCACAAAUAUUCGAGGAAUGUCUACUCCUCACUCUUGGGUAAGAAGGAAGACUACCUUCACUCAAUUUUUAAUGAAGGAAGGAAAUACCCCCACAAUGCAUUUGUGGGGGUUCGAACUGCUGCCCUCCAACUUGGAGGGCAGCAACUCUAACCACUCGGCCUUUGGCCGAGUGGCUAUCCUUACGGAAUUUGAUUAGCCCCUAUUGAACUUGAUGUAUGUUUCUCAUUUUACACAAUUUCUUCAAAUUUUAAUUAUUUAUCCAAUUUCAUAUAUUUUUUCCCCUUUUCUUCAAUACAAAAAUGGUUAUACAAAUUGUUUUCUUCUAAUUUGCCUCAACAUUAAAUACCCUUUAGAGUUUCUAAUGCUCACCCCAAUCAUCAACCCUCUUCAAUACAUCGAUGUUCAUUUGUUUUAGUAGUUAAGAAAAAAAAUAUAUAAUUUAGAUUUCUUAUUUUUCACAAUUUCUUCAAUGACUUGUGUAGGUGAAAUUAGAGCAAAAAUGUCAAGACCCAACCCAGACCUGGCAAGAUAUUGUCCGCUUUACGCCCAUACACCCCAAGAACAAAUCCGUGCGGGCCUUGUUAAGGCCCAAAGCGAACAAUAUCUUGCCAGGUCUGGGUUGGGUCUUGACAUUAUGGUAUCAGAGUGGCUUCGCGUGUCCACUUGUGCGAUGGUGGGGCAAACCUCAGCGAGGACGCUGAGUCCCCAAGGAGGGGUGUAUGUAACACCCUAGGCAAAUCCCAAAUCGGCAAAGCACGGGAGAGAUGAUGAGUUUAUAAGGGGUGAUCCACACCUUAAUUGGCAAGACACGUUUUGGGGUGUAUGGGCGCCCCAAGAACAAAUCCGUGCGGGCCUUGUUAAGGCCCAAAGCGGACAAUAUCUUGCCAGGUCUGGGUUGGGUCUUGACAUUAUGGUAUCAGAGCGGCUCCACGUGUACUCUUGAGCGAUGGUGGGGCAAACCUCGGCGAGGACGCUGAGUCCCCAAGGGGGUGUGUAUGUAACACCCUAGGCGAAUCCCACAUCGACAAAGCACGGGAGAGAUACUGGGUUUAUAAGGGGUGAUCCACACAUUAAUUGGCAAGAUGCGUUUUGGGGUGUAUGAGCACCCCAAGAACAAAUCUGUGCAGGCCUUGUUAAGGCCCAAAGCGGACAAUAUCUUGCCAGGUCUGGGUUGGGUCUUGACAUUAUGGUAUCAAAGCGGCUCCGCAUGUCCUCUCAAGCGAUGGUGGGGCAAACCUCAGCGAGGACGCUGAGUCCCCAAGGGGAGGUGUAUGUAACACCCUAGGCAAAUCCCACAUCGGCAAAGCACGGGAGCGAUGUUGGGUUUAUAAGGGGUGAUCCACACCUUAAUUGGCAAGACGGGUUUUGGGGUGUAUGGGCGCCCUAAGAAAAAAUUCGUGACAAGAAAACAUCAUGACUGUAGCCCGAGCUUCAAUUUCAACCAGAACCUUUCCGUCUUCACAUUUGCUGUCUACACAAAUAAGUCUUGAUCCUACAGUGGUGGACUUUUUUUGGUUUCUUUGUUUCCGCUGUCUAUUCAUAAAUAAGAAGUUUUGUUUUGGCUUUUCAGUUGAUAGUUCAUUGAUUUGUGCUUCGGCCAUGGUUUCGUUAAUUGUGUACAAAAAAUAAUUACUAUUUGUGAUGCUUGCUAGUGUUUGGGUUGAGUUGAAUGUAUUUUCUGUCUUUGUUCUGUUGCUUGCUCUGAAAUCCUGUUUCAAAGGAUGGGCAAGUCUGGCACUCAAUAGGUUCCGUUUAUUUCCAGAAAAGAUUAAUUAUUGAUGAACUUCACACUUGGCUGAAUGUCUUAGUAAACGUUCUUGUGGAGAAAUCCUAAUACCCGCUUAGGCAAUACAAUGAGGCAGAAAUACUAAUACUGCUGUACAUGUGUUGAUUGAUUAACAGCUUUGUUCUCUGAUAUUCUUUCUUUAUCUGUUGCAGAAAUUCCUUCAAUAUGAUUGAUAGUUGCUACUAAUUAUAGAAGCAUCCCUCCUUUGGCUCAUUCAAUGGAAUAUGAAAGACAGAUUACUGAGACAAAGUCACGCUUCAUUACCUUCCCAAAGAAAGUUGAAGUUUGGGCUGCGUACUUGGGAGUGGAAUGAAGAGCGGCAGCAAAAUGAUUACAAGGAUUGCCAUUUACAGGGGCACUUUUGUGACUACUGAUGUGUCCCUCUAAUGGUUCAAUAAAUUGAAACCACGUCUAGUAAAAGCUAGAAAAACGCCGUGUUAUAGUAAGCAUCGACUUUCAAUAAUAGAAUUUUGUGUGCAAGUGUGAAGUUCAUCAAUAAUCAAUCUUUAUAACUAUUGCCUACGGUAUAAAAAUAUUUAUAAAAGAGCAAGUAAUUGCAAUCCCUCGUUCAAAUUUAUAACAAAUCAACUAUAAAAAUAUUCAGAGCAAAAUUCAAGAUUAAAUUAUGUUCUAUAUUGGAUCACACGUUAAAAUAGUUAUCAAGAUAUGCAUGUAUAUAAUUAAAUAAAUGUAGAAAUUUAAUUUGGUUUGUUAGCAUUCCAUUAAGAAUAAAUUUAAACAAUUAACUAAUUAAAUCCUCGUUGAAUAAUUAUUAAGCUUCAUUUAAACUAAUAAAAUAUGUUUGUGAUAUGAUAUCUCAUAACAAAUUAACUAACGACUUUGAAAUUUAUGCUAUCUAUCUCAUGAAAUUUAUCAAACUCAUACUUGAUUCUUAGAUCAAGUUACAAAAAUCGUGUGAGGUGAAUCAGUAGAUUAAGGGCUAGCUCAAGUGAAGCUUUGAGGCAGCAGAAUCAACACAUGCCACAUUUUAAUAUUGUCAUUAUUAUUAGCAGUGUAUCAAAUUUGAAAAGUAAUUCCAGUUGUCUUUGUUUCAGCUGUGUACUCAUUAAGUAAGAGAUUUCAUUUCAGCAGAGAGUUGACUGUGUAUAAAAAUAAAGAAUGUUUGUGAUGCUUUCUAGUCUUGGAUUAAGUGGGAUUAAUGUAUUUUCUAUAAAAACUGAUCAAAAAUUUCCUCCCAUGGAUGCAAGCUAAUGCAAAUUAGUUGAACCACGUUGAAUUGAUUUUUCCUCUGUUGGUUCUUUCAAUUCUUUAAUUCAAUUUGAUCUUAAUUGCUUUUUGUUCUUUCAUCAUUAUCUUGUUUCAAUUCCAUUUUCAAUUGAGCUUCAAAUUAGUUCAUUCUUGGUAGCAUCUUGAUUGAUUGGAUUGUGAUAUUGGGCAGCAACUGAGGUAUCUCUGGUUUUAAGCACUCCAGUUGCUACAGUUAGGCACUCAAUCAAUAUGCUUUGUUCAUUUACAGAAGAGAUUUGAUUAUUGAUGAACUUCAUACUUGCCUGACUCUGUAAAGAAAUUGUAUGAAUCAAUAAUUUAUCAAUGAGUAACGUUACAAUUUAUACAAGUCAAGCAUACUUGGAUGAUAAGCCAAACACUAUAAGAUAAGUCAUAGCCUAUAAGAUAAAUACAAGCUAAGCCAUAGCCUAUAUGAUAAUUACAAGAUAACGGUAAAGAGAUAUAAGAUAAGAUUACAAGUUAUUGAAACAGAGAGUAGUUAUCUAUGUACAUGUUUGGCUAAUACUCUGAUCCCGUGUAGUGGGUUGGGAGGAUUACAUGGAGAUGCUAUUAAAGCUAAGGCAUAAGGCAGAGAUUAACAAACACAAUGAUUAGCAGUAGGUCGUUAUUAAAUAUUAUUUAACGUGAGGAACAAGAUUUUCAGCCUCGCUUCAUAGUGCUAACUACUUCGACUUUGUCUGUUACUUGGAAACUUUGGUGCCUUCCAUGACAAUCAUUUUGUGGCAGCACAGUGAACGAUUCUGUUGCUUUUGCUUUCAAUGAACAGGGCUACCUUACCAGAUAGGGUUACCAUUUUAUUAAUUGCAAGUGGUAGCUUAUUUAUUCAUUACUUUUGUCUUCUGUGAAUAUAAAUCACUGACUAUGUAAUCAUAAUAAUUUUUUAAUAAGGAGUAUGAUGAAAAUUAAAGACAAAUAGUGAUUUUGUAAUUAUUUAUUAUGCUCCAAGUCAAUAGAUAUCACAUCAACCCCCAAUAUUUUCUUUGCAACUACUUUCUUAUUGUACCCAUUAUCAAAAUUCUAUAAUAAAUGUGUAGGAGAAACUACUGACUAAACUAACAUGCUUGCACUACUGGAGUACUGAGAGAAAGAGUUGUGUAGGUCAACCUAAGACCAGUUUCAUUCAUCAACAAUAAAUGUUUCAGUGGAUACAUAAAACUUUUUGCACGCCAGUAAGUGGUAGACGUGAUUUUGCAUUUUUCCACAGCUUAAAUUACUAAAGAUCUUGCUCUGUUCUUUUCUUUUCAAAUAGGCCUUAUGGUCCCGGUGGAAUUGUUUUGACCUUUUCUUUCUUGAAAGUGGAUGUAUAAUACAUAUUGGUCUUGAUUGAUCCUUGAUCAAGACCUAUUUAUUCUCUUAUGCUUUAUUCUUUUUACAACAUAUGGAGAACAGUGUAUUGUAAGAUUCAUUUACCGUAGUCCUCUGCCUUGAUCUGUUCUAAUUUGAGAGUCAACAAUCUCAAUUCAAUUUCUUGAAUGGAGUACUAGCUAAGAGAACGGAGGUAGGGGAGGUUUAAAGCAAAGUUUCUUUCCAACUCUCUGUUUUUAACUAUUUCUUUGCAUGCUACAGGACUGAUUACAGGGUGGUACCGAGAGAGGAGGAGAUAUGGACAUCAACUUCAUGCUAUUUUCCGAGAGGCUGGGACGGGUGUUAGCUGGUGAAGAAGUCACGUUGCUUGAUGCUGCAAAACAACAUAUUCAGAACCUUCAUGCCGAGACUGAAAUCGUUACUUCUUGGCUGAGGGAAUUUGAAGAUGAUAUCUCCUGCCUUCUGAUGCAAAAAAUAGGAGAAGUUGAAAUUGAUGACCCUGAUCUCGGGAACAUUAUGGAUGAAAUCAAUUGCUUUACGUAUGAAUCUGAGAAGGUGAUUAACACAUUCAUCAACAGCAUCAGUGAACA